rnacentral:lncRNA from 1 species
AGAGGCCCACAUCCUUCUUCAUCGAGGACAUCCUGCUGCACAAGCCCAAGCCGCUGAGAGAGGUGGCCCCAGACCAUUUCGCCAGCUCUCUGGCCUCUCGGGUGCCUCUGCUAGACUAUGGCUACCCCCUCAUGCCCACACCCACCCUCUUGGCUCCUCACGCCCAUCACCCUCUGCAUAAGGGAGACCACCAUCAUCCUUAUUUCCUCACCACCUCGGGUAAGUAACAGGAACCU